rnacentral:rRNA from 1 species
CCUACGGGAGGCAGCAGUAGGGAAUUUUGGACAAUGGGGGCAACCCUGAUCCAGCCAUGCCACGUGAGUGAAGAAGGCCUUCGGGUUGUAAAGCUCUUUCGGCCGGGAAGAAAUCGCCAUCUCUAAUAUAGGUGGUGGAUGACGGUACCGGAAUAAGAAGCACCGGCUAACUACGUGCCAGCAGCCGCGGUAAUACGUAGGGUGCGAGCGUUAAUCGGAAUUACUGGGCGUAAAGCGUGCGCAGGCGGUUUGAUAAGACAGGCGUGAAAUCCCCGGGCUUAACCUGGGAACUGCGCUUGUGACUGUCUCACUAGAGUACGGCAGAGGGGGGUGGAAUUCCACGUGUAGCAGUGAAAUGCGUAGAGAUGUGGAGGAACACCGAUGGCGAAGGCAGCCCCCUGGGCCGAUACUGACGCUCAUGCACGAAAGCGUGGGGAGCAAACAGGAUUAGAUACCCUGGUAGUCCACGCCCUAAACGAUGUCAACUAGGUGUUGGGUGGGUAAAACCAUUUAGUACCGUAGCUAACGCGUGAAGUUGACCGCCUGGGGAGUACGGCCGCAAGGUUAAAACUCAAAGGAAUUGACGG